GUGCAGCAGUCGCGAAACCUCCGCAAUGCGGGAAACCGUGACGGGGUCACCCCGAGUGCCACCCGCUGAGGGUGGCUUUUCCCCGGUCUAAAGAGCCGGGGGAAUAAGCGGGGGGCAAGACUGGUGUCAGCCGCCGCGGUAAUACCAGCCCCGCGAGUGGUCGGGACGUUUAUUGGGCCUAAAGCGUCCGUAGCCGGCCCGGUAAUUCCCUCCUUAAAGCCCACGGCUCAACCGUGGGAACGGAGGGAUAAUGCCGGGCUAGGGGGCGGGAGAGGCCGGGGGUACUCCCGGGGUAGGGGCGAAAUCCUGUAAUCCCGGGAGGACCGCCAGUGGCGAAGGCGCCCGGCUGGAACGCGCCCGACGGUGAGGGACGAAAGCUGGGGGAGCAAAGGGGAUUAGAUACCCGGGUAGU
rnacentral:rRNA from 1 species